UUUAUAGCUUGCUAUGAUAAAAAUUAGUGGCAGACGGGUGAGUAAUGCAUAGGAAUCUACCUAGUAGUAUGGGAUAGCCACUAGAAAUGGUGGGUAAUACUGUAUAAUCCCUGCGGGGGAAAGAUUUAUCGCUAUUAGAUGAGCCUAUGUUAGAUUAGCUAGUUGGUAGGGUAAAGGCCUACCAAGGCAGUGAUCUAUAGCUGGUCUGAGAGGAUGAUCAGCCACACUGGAACUGAGAUACGGUCCAGACUCCUACGGGAGGCAGCAGUGGGGAAUAUUGGACAAUGGGCGCAAGCCUGAUCCAGCUAUGCCGCGUGAGUGAGGAAGGCCUUAGGGUUGUAAAACUCUUUCAGUGGGGAAGAUAAUGACGGUACCCACAGAAGAAGUCCCG
rnacentral:rRNA from 1 species